CAGUCGCCACGGGAAUACGUAGGUGGCAAGCGUUGUCCGGAAUUAUUGGGCAUAAAGGGCUCGCAGGCGGUUUCUUAAGUCUGAUGUGAAAGCCCCCGGCUCAACCGGGGAGGGUCAUUGGAAACUGGGAAACUUGAGUGCAGGAGAGGAGAGUGGAAUUCCACGUGUAGCGGUGAAAUGCGUAGAGAUGUGGAGGAACACCAGUGGCGAAGGCGACUCUCUGGUCUGUAACUGACGCUGAGGAGCGAAAGCGUGGGGAGCGAACAGGAUUAGAUACCCCCGUAGUCCCUGUCUCUUAUAC
rnacentral:rRNA from 1 species